GCCCGAGCCUUUAUAAGCGGCUGCCGAAAUUCCCCGCGCCCUUUCGUUUUGUGCCCUUGGAGGUGUUCAGGCGGCCAUGGAGGCGGCAGCGGCACCGCGACCCCGCCGGCAGCGCCGGGACCCCGCCAGGGCUGCGGAGACUCCUCUCCGCAGAAAGACGUCUUGAAGUAAAGAAGCCUGGGCUUUCCAGAUGGAUGUGACACAACUGGAUUGGGAGCAGGUGGGGAGGUGGCCCUUAUGUGAAAGGUAGAGGCUGCAGGUCUGUGCUGCCACGUGCUGGUUGUUGAUGUCCACCCAUUGAUGUGACAGCUCUUCACAAGUCCUGUGGAAGGCACUGAGACAGCAGAGCAGGAGAGUGCUGGGUGGCGCUGCUGGAAACAUCUCUGAGGCAGAAGGAAUCCAACAAAACACCAGAGCUUGAGGAUUUUGUGUAGACACAACAUUUUUCUGCUUGUUACAAAAUGAGCAGGAGGAAGAGCAGUGAACUUUCCAACUCUCCUUCAUUUCAGAGAAGCGAGGCACAAAGGAGCUGCUGUUUUCCAGCAAGGAAUAACGAGAUGGCAUUGGUGUCAUGCAAGCAAAGUGUCACAGAUAAGAAACUGGAGCUUGGAGCCGUGCUGGGAGCAGGGAGAGGAUUUGGUCAGCCAUUGGAGAAAGCAAUUUUCCUGAACUGUGUCAAAUCAGGAUCUGAGGACACCUCCUGAUGCUGAAAGACUGAAUUCCCAGGGGAUAAAAGGAGCUCAAAUUAACCUCCAGCCAUGGGAUAUCCCUGAGAUCAAGGGCUUUGUGGGAGGUCCCAAGUGGACAGGGCACUGCUGUGGUUGAGAACAUCCGAAGUCAUGGAGCAUCCAUCUCCAGCUGGAUGAAAUCCUUCCCUUCUUCCCACUCAGCCUGUCCUGGCUGAUUGCUGGCCUGUUCCCCCUCUCCCCUCCAACACCACACCCCAUUCCCACCAGGAUGAAACAUUUCACCGUGGUUUUUGAAUGGUCACAAACCCCUGGAGCUGCCAGAGGGGAUGUUUACACAUUAAACAGCAUUUUUGGAGAAGAGAUGCAUUGGGAUUUCUACACAGCAAGGAGGAGAGAGUGUGGUGAUGCACGCCUGGCUCCAGGCAGCUGCAUCCCAGCUUCAGAUGGUUGGGAUUUUCCCUUUUUUCUGGGAAGCAACCUGCCCACCCCACUCAAACCCAUCUGCUGGGGUUCCACAAAAAAUCCCAAAUCCCAGCCAGGCACCUUGGUGCAUGCAAAAGACCAGCCCAAAAUGUUGCUCCCGUUCAGAUAUGUUGGAAAAUGGAUUUUCCACAAAGCAAAGGAGCAGUUUGGGAGUCCCACAGACCAUCAGAGCACAAACACAGCAGGCACUGUGCUCCCUGCCAGGCACGUGCCAAAGGGAAUAAAUCCAAGGAGCAGCAUCAUGUGGAGGAGCACUGGGAAGAGAACAACUGACAGGGCAAAUUAGGGUCUGUUCCCAUCCCAGCCAUAAGAGAAAGAGAAAAGUCACAUCUUGAGUAGCUAUAAAAAGUCCAGAGAGUCCCGGACUGGCAGAUGGAGGAAGUGCCCCACGGCCAUGGAGGAGAGCGAGGUGAGGAGGACAGAGGUGAUGAAAAGGGCAUUCCUGGGAUAAAAUUACCCAUGUCCAACUAUUUCUCCUUGUUGAUACCUCAAAAAGUUCCUUUUUCCCCCCUCUUUGUGUGCCCUGAACCCCAUCAAAGCUCCUCGUUUACAGUGUGGGGUGUGUGGGGAAGAGCCAAACCCCACAGCCCUGCUGGGACCAGCCCCCUCCUGCUGUUCAGCACCACAAAUUUCCAAAUGUUUCUGCCAAAGCAGAGAAAAUAUUCCCAAUUUAUUAAACUGGCUGAGCCCUGUGUGAAGCAGCCCAAACCAAAGAUGUCUCCCAAAGGUUUUCCAUUCUCUCUCUCCCAAAAAUCUUAGCUCCCUUCUGGGUCACUCCAGGUCUUCCCAUCGCAUUAAGUCAUUUAUUAGAGAGGAUUACUCAGUGCCUGUGGUUAACCCUCCCCAUUCCCAGUUAUCGCUGGGAUUUAAAUGCUGAAUUUCAAGAGUAAACAGAUUAAAUCCUAAUUUCCAGCCCUCAAUCCCAAAAGGAGGGUAGGACAUGCUCAGAGGUGGCCUCUCAUGUGCUGUCAGGGCAAUUAACAGGAAUAACCUGUUAAGCACAAAUCUUUCUGUGCUGCAGGAACACCGAGGGGAAAGCUCUGCUCCACCCCGGCACGGGCAGACAGAGGCUGGAAUUUAGUGUCCAUCCUGGGAAUGAACUGAGCCACCAAACCAGGAAUUUAUCUUCUGAGGACAAGGAUUUAUGGGCUCAGUGACCACACAGGCUGCAGCCCUCAGCCGUGGUGAUGUGACCCAGCCAAAAUCAGCUGGUCCACCCUGGCCAGGAGCAGCUCUUGACCCUCACCCACCUCCUCCUGUGGGAUUCAGGACCCACCUCUAAGCCAGGGCUGAGCAUCCCACUGCUUCCCAACCUCGCUUCCCAACCUGAAAAACCACCAGGAGCCAGAGCUUUGCUCUUCUCCAUGCCCAGAGUUUCAGGCCACGCUGGAAAGAGCAGGGAAGUUUGGGAAUCGCCCGUUUUCCAUUGCAAAAGGUGGAAAGCUGCACCAGCACCCCAAAUCACAGCAGCCAGCCUGAGUUCUGCAGCAUUUGUAGCAUCCUCUGUCCCCUCUGCUCCAUGGAACGUGGGGACAAUGACAUUCCAUGGACACAGGGAGAAGGGAUCACCCACACACUCAUCCCAAAGGCUCCAGCUCCCACAUUCCCUGCUCUCCUGCAGCAGCUCCCAGCACACACAGAAAUGGGAUUUUAAUGACCAGGAGACCCUGCUCCAGCCUCCUCCCACCGCCUGGAUUUGUGCUGGAUGCUCUGAAGGAACCAUUUGUUGCAGGAGCUCCGACUUCUCCUCUUGCUCGCCCACCAGCUGCCACAGCAGAGGAGGAUUCCUAGCCACAAACAUUCCCUUUCUGUUUUCCAAAGGGCUUCUCCCACCAUGAAAACUCUUUUAAAAAAAGAUUUUUUCCUUUGUAAAGCAAUGCAAGCAGGCACUGCCAACGUGAAAACCCAGCACCCAGCAUUCCUUCAAUAUUUUGUGCCCCCGAUGAAAUCAGGAGUGGGAUGGUAAAAGAUCAUUCCUGCCAUCAAAACGAGGCGGUUCUGCCUCUAAAUUCAUCACUAAAUCCAAACAACUUCUGUUCUAACAGGUCUUUGUACCUGGAUGCCAAAUGCCAUGGAGAACAUCCAACCCUCAGGUUAAAUCUGGGGUUAAACCCCAGGGUUAAACCUGCCAGGGUUAAAUCCACCAGAGUUAAAUCUGGGGUUAACCCCAACCAGGGGUUAAAUCUGCCACAGCCUCAUGGAGCCUCGACAUUUCCAAAAGCUGUCCCAAAUUAUUAAUUUUCCUGCUAUUUUUGAGGUGAUUUCUAAUGAUUUCACAUCAGAGAGUGUUGAGAGAGCCACAGGGAGUUCAGGCUGAGUCCCAGGUGUCACCAGCAGAGAGGACAAGUGGCAAAGAAAAGAGAGUGGGCUGGAGCUAAGGAAAACCACCUGGGAAACCCAUGAGAAGUGGGAAAAGGAUCUUCCCAUGUGCCAGCACUGGGGGGUUUGCAUGAGUGAGGGCUGGGAGCUGCGAAACAAAAAAUGGGGUUAGAAAGUGCCACGUUGGCUCACCCUGGUGCGGACAUUUGGGGGUUUCUCUGCUUAUUGCACAGCAGCAACAGAGUUCAAAAAUCCACGAAUUUAGUCCAGAUUGACCCCAUUUAAUUCCAUUUAAACUGAGCUGCUUCACCUUAAAUCCUUCCCCGCUUCGUGCAGGGGCACGGCCAGGAAUUGUGUGCAAAAAAGAAAAAAAAGGGGCUUAUCUGAUGUAAAUUUGGAAUUACAACGUGAAUAUUUGAUAUUCCUUCAGCUGGUGCCCGCUGCUCCAUCCUCCCUGCUGCAUUCCUGGCUCAUUCCUACCGCAGCCGGGAAAGGAAUAUCCCCGCAGGGUGGGAAAGCCACGGAGGGCGUUUCCCCAGGGAAACACCUCCUCCCUCCCAGCCCGUGCUCUCAGCAAUUCCGGGAGCUUUGAUUCCCGGCUUCGUUCUUGUGAAGCUGACGGCAGCAGGAGCAGGGAGAUUCCAGGAGCGGAGAGAUUCCAGGAGCUAAUUCCACCCUGGAAUCGUGUCCCUAGGCAGAGCCAGGCGCAGGGAAAUGACUUUAGCAGGCUGGCUUCAUCCUGCUGCUGUUGGCUUUCCCUGAUUUUCAUCCCUGGAUGUUUAAUAUAUUCCGAGGGAGGCGCGGAGACAGUAAGGGAGAGCCAGACAGAUUUAUAAUGUGCCAAAAAAAUAAGGUCAUUUGGCAGAGGUUUGGGGGCUCUGAUGCCAGGCAGCAGAGCAGAGCCCUAGGAGUGUCUGCCUGGAUUUAGCACACCCAGGCUGGACGGGAUUCCUGGGAGGAGAUGGGAUUGGGAAGCACAGCCUCCCCCUUUGGCUGUCCAGCCAAAAAAUCAGCUCCGUCCUCUGUCCCCAUCCUCCUCCUCCUGCUGCUCUGCUUCCCAUUAUCCCCUGCAAUGGAUAUGGUGGGUGUGGGAUGAAGGGAAGCGAUUUUCCCUGGAGGAGAUACACAAAAAAGGGUGGAUCCCCAAUACUGGGGAGUUCCUGCAACAUCUGGCAGCAGGGCCGAGUCAGGGCAAUGCCAACACAUGGGAAUGGGAGCUCAUGAUUCCCUUGGGAGCAGCACAGGGCACUUGAAAACCCCAACCCCAACUAUAAAAUCCCUGUAUUGAGGCAUUUAGACCUUAGCAAAAGGCUGACUUCAACUUCCAGCAAAGGGUUCAGCUCACGGCCACCUCCUAAAAGAGCAUCCAAACCAGAAAUCCGGGAAAAUCCCACCCUCCAAAGCCUGGCUGGGGCAGAACCAGCAGCCAGCAUCCCACGUUGGCAGCCCUGAGGUCACUUCCAUGUGGUCAGGGCUCGUUGACAGCCGAAACCUCAUCCCGAAACCUCAUCCCUGCUCUUAAAGCCUUGGAAAACCUCAGCUAUUUCCCGGCUGCUCCAAGGAAAGGCUGCAGAUAAAGCCUUGCAAAUCUCGGGCAUGAGGCUGUGCUCACACCGCUGCUCAUCCCAGGCCGGGGAUUAAGGACAGCGAUUGGUAACUAAAGACAGAGGGGCACGAAGCAGGGCACGGAAUUUUUUCCAUUUUCAAGGAUUUCGUGCGGUUUUCGGGGCUGAAGAGAGCUCCCCGAUGCAGCAGCAGUGUGACUUUAACAAUGCCCUGAUGGGGUGAUAAGGGAUGAGCAUUUCCUGUUCUAGUUAAGAGGAAACCCCUGGAGGGUAAUGAGCUGCUGGGUCAUUACCAGCUCCGUGUGCCCUGGGACACAGCCCGGGAGCUCCAACACUCCCCCAGUUUCUGCUGCUUUAUGGGAAACUGCAAAUUUUAGCCAUAAUCCACCUUAAAACCCACCCAAAAUGUGGUUAUCAUUGAUAAUGAAAUACAUUUCUCCAUGUUUUGGUCUCUCAGGACAGCACUUUGUAAGGAUGCUGAGCCAGAGCCCUGGAAAAUAUGCUCCUAAUCCUAUUUGGCCACGCAAUCCUUUAUUUCCUUGUGUCUUUUCCCCUCCUGUGACCACGUUCCUCCCCUCUCCUUCUCUAUUCCAGUUUUUUUUCAAUGGAUUAAUUCCCACUACAACUCCAUUACAACCAAAACUCUCCUGGGAUCACGAGCCAGCAUCUGGAUCCAAAUCCUGACUCUCCCAGACUGCAGCUCCCUUUUUAUUUCUCACUUCCUUAAGCAAAAAUAAUAAAUAUAUAAUGCCUAACAUCAGGAAAACAAGCAGUCCUUUCCAUUCCCAUCAGCCUCAUCCACAGGUUUCUCAGCUCUGUGGAUCCAGGAUGACACCAGCUGGGAAUGCUUUGCUGAGGAGCUGGAUGAGGAGGGGAUUUGGGGUUCUUUUCCCCCUAUUUUUAACAACAAAAUUCCUUCUGUGCAAACUGCAAGCCACGGUAUGCCUGGUGACACGUGCCUGGACAUUAAUUACCAGCUAAUUAGGAGCUCUUGGAGCAGUUUGGGAGACAAGGGAUGUUUGGAGGAUGGACGGCUCAAGGUUUUCCAGACCAUUCCUCCUCCCCGGGCACUGAAGUGCUGCUCUCCUCUGCAACAGGGAAAAGAAGAUGGGAAUAGAGGAAAACACCUCUGGAGGGGCAUGAAGGAACCAGAAGUGGGGAAAAUGCUGGUGAGAUUGGAGACGAAGGAGGAUUUUGGAGGUCAUGCCAAGCUGAGAGGUUGUGACACCCCAGCUCCCUCCUGGCUUUGAGCACUUCCCUUCAUCCCACUGGAUUUGUUCCUCCUGUCGUGCAGGGAGCAGCAGGCAGCUCCCACAUUUGCCAAAACCAUCAUGGAAAACCCCUCUUCCCACUGUCCCCAGCCCUUGUUGCCCCUGAGAGGUGGCAAGGGCAGCUUGGGGACAGUGACUGAGCAGGGACUCACC